rnacentral:rRNA from 1 species
GGCCAAGUUAAUAAGGGCGCACGGUGGAUGCCUUGGCACCAGGAGCCGAUGAAGGACGUAGGAGGCUGCGAUAAGCCUCGGGGAGCUGCCAACCGAGCUUUGAUCCGAGGAUUUCCGAAUGGGGAAACCCGGCAGGAGUCAUGUCCUGUCACCCAUACCUGAACACAUAGGGUAUGCGGAGGGAACGUGGGGAAGUGAAACAUCUCAGUACCCACAGGAAGAGAAAGCAACCGCGAUUCCGUUAGUAGUGGCGAGCGAAAGCGGAAGAGGCCAAACCACAUACGCGUGAUAGCCGGCAGGCGUUGCGUAUCUGGGGUUGUGGGGCCGUUUGGCUGGUUCUGCCGAACCAGCAGGGAGUAAGAAAGCGUCGUAGUUAGUCGAAGGACUUGGGAAGGUCCGGCAUAGAGGGUGAUACCCCCGUAGACGAAAACUCGACGCCUCCCGAAUGUCACCCCAAGUAGCAGCGAGCCCGUGAAAUUCGCUGUGAAUCUGGCGGGACCACCCGCUAAGCCUAAAUACUCCCUGGUGACCGAUAGCGGACAAGUACCGUGAGGGAAAGGUGAAAAGUACCCCGGGAGGGGAGUGAAAUAGUACCUGAAACCGCGCGCCUACAAGCCGUUGGAGCGUCGCCAUGCCUUGCGCAUGGUCGUGACAGCGUGCCUUUUGAAGAAUGAGCCUGCGAGUUAGCGUUACGUGGCGAGGUUAACCCGUGAGGGGUAGCCGUAGCGAAAGCGAGUCCGAAUAGGGCGAAUUAGUCGCGUGAUCUAGACCCGAAGCGAAGUGAUCUACCCAUGGCCAGGUUGAAGCGCGGGUAAGACCGCGUGGAGGACCGAACCCACCAGGGUUGAAAACCUGGGGGAUGAGCUGUGGGUAGGGGUGAAAGGCCAAUCAAACUUCGUGAUAGCUGGUUCUCCCCGAAAUGCAUAUAGGUGCAGCGUCGCGUGUUUCUUGCCGGAGGUAGAGCUACUGGAUGGUCUAGGGGGCCCACAAGCUUACCGAAAUCAGCCAAACUCCGAAUGCCGGUAAGUGAGAGCGCGGCAGUGAGACUGCGGGCGAUAAGGUUCGUAGUCGAGAGGGAAACAACCCAGAUCACCAGCUAAGGUCCCUAAGCGUGUGCUAAGUGGGAAAGGAUGUGGAGUCGCAUAGACAACCAGGAGGUUGGCUUAGAAGCAGCCACCCUUGAAAGAGUGCGUAAUAGCUCACUGGUCAAGUGAUUCUGCGCCGACAAUGUAACGGGGCUCAAGCACACCACCGAAGCUGUGGCAUUCGUACGUUAGCCCGCCGGUCGUCCUCGGACGGCCGGCCAGGUGUACGGAUGGGUAGGGGAGCGUCGUGUGCCGGAGGAAGCGGCGGGGUGACCCAGCCGUGGACGGCACACGAGUGAGAAUGCAGGCAUGAGUAGCGAAAGAGGAGUGAGAAACUCCUCCGCCGAAUGACCAAGGGUUCCUGGGCCAGGCUAAUCCGCCCAGGGUAAGUCGGGACCUAAGGCGAGGCCGACAGGCGUAGUCGAUGGACAACGGGUUGAUAUUCCCGUACCCGCAAAAGAGCGCCCAUGCUGAAUCUAGGGAUGCUAAGCGCCAGAAGCCGCGGCGACCUUCGGGUCAAUGUGGUGGAUCGCGCGACCCUAACUAGUAGUAGGCAAGCAAUGGGGUGACGCAGGAAGGUAGUCGUACCAGUCAGUGGUAAUACUGGAGCAAGCGUGUAGGGCGUUGUGUAGGUAAAUCCGCACAACAUGUGCCUGAGACGUGACGCAUAGCCGAUUGCGGCGAAUUCGAUGAUCCUAUGCUGCCGAGAAAAGCCUCUAGCGAGCUCUUAGCGGCCCGUACCCCAAACCGACACAGGUGGUCAGGUAGAGAAUACCGAGGCGAUCGAGAGAACCAUGGUUAAGGAACUCGGCAAAAUACCUCCGUAACUUCGGGAGAAGGAGGGCCCGCCAGCGUGACGGAACUUGCUUCCCGAGCGUUGGCUGGCCGCAGAGACCAGCGAGAAGCGACUGUUUACUAAAAACACAGGUCCGUGCGAAGUAGUAAUACGAUGUAUACGGACUGACGCCUGCCCGGUGCUGGAACGUUAAGGGGACGGGUUAGCACUUCGGUGCGAAGCUCAGAACUUAAGCGCCAGUAAACGGCGGUGGUAACUAUAACCAUCCUAAGGUAGCGAAAUUCCUUGUCGGGUAAGUUCCGACCUGCACGAAUGGCGUAACGACUUCUCGACUGUCUCAACCAUGGACUCGGCGAAAUUGCACUACGAGUAAAGAUGCUCGUUACGCGCGGCAGGACGGAAAGACCCCGGGACCUUUACUAUAGUUUGAUAUUGGUGCUCGGUUCGGCUUGUGUAGGAUAGGUGGGAGACUGUGAAGCUGGCACGCCAGUGUCGGUGGAGUCAACGUUGAAAUACCACUCUGGUCGAAUUGGGUGUCUAACCUCGGUCCGUAAUCCGGAUCAGGGACAGUGUCAGAUGGGUAGUUUGACUGGGGCGGUCGCCUCCCAAAAAGUAACGGAGGCGCCCAAAGGUUCCCUCAGCCUGGUUGGCAAUCAGGUGUCGAGUGCAAGUGCACAAGGGAGCUUGACUGUGAGACAGACAUGUCGAGCAGGAGCGAAAGCUGGGACUAGUGAUCCGGCACCGGCUAGUGGAAGCGGUGUCGCUCAACGGAUAAAAGGUACCCCGGGGAUAACAGGCUGAUCUUCCCCAAGAGUCCAUAUCGACGGGAUGGUUUGGCACCUCGAUGUCGGCUCGUCGCAUCCUGGGGCUGGAGUCGGUCCCAAGGGUUGGGCUGUUCGCCCAUUAAAGCGGCACGCGAGCUGGGUUUAGAACGUCGUGAGACAGUUCGGUCCCUAUCCGCCGCGCGCGCAGGAGAUUUGAGAAGAGCUGUCCUUAGUACGAGAGGACCGGGACGGACGAACCUCUGGUGUGCCAGUUGUUCCACCAGGAGCACUGCUGGUUGGCUACGUUCGGAAGGGAUAACCGCUGAAAGCAUCUAAGCGGGAAGCUCGCUUCAAGAUGAGAUCUCCCAUCCUUUAUGGAGUAAGGCCCCCGGCUAGACCACCGGGUUGAUAGGCCGGAAGUGGAAGCGUGGUAACACGUGCAGCUGACCGGUACUAAUAGGCCGAGGACUUGCCAC